rnacentral:rRNA from 1 species
UACACUCCUACGGGAGGCAGCAGUGGGGAAUAUUGCACAAUGGGCGCAAGCCUGAUGCAGCCAUGCCGCGUGUAUGAAGAAGGCCUUCGGGUUGUAAAGUACUUUCAGCGGGGAGGAAGGCGAUAAGGUUAAUAACCUUGUUGAUUGACGUUACCCGCAGAAGAAGCACCGGCUAACUCCGUGCCAGCAGCCGCGGUAAUACGGAGGGUGCAAGCGUUAAUCGGAAUUACUGGGCGUAAAGCGCACGCAGGCGGUCUGUCAAGUCGGAUGUGAAAUCCCCGGGCUCAACCUGGGAACUGCAUUCGAAACUGGCAGGCUAGAGUCUUGUAGAGGGGGGUAGAAUUCCAGGUGUAGCGGUGAAAUGCGUAGAGAUCUGGAGGAAUACCGGUGGCGAAGGCGGCCCCCUGGACAAAGACUGACGCUCAGGUGCGAAAGCGUGGGGAGCAAACAGGAUUAGAAACCCCGGUAGUCCCAUGA